GGGCCUAUAGCUCAGCUCCGGUUAGAGCGCACGCCUGAUAAGCGUGAGGUCGAUGGUUCAAGUCCAUCUAGGCCCACCA
rnacentral:tRNA from 1 species